CUUAGCCUAGAGAAUUAAGUAAACAUGUGUUACUUCACUCCUACACACCGUUUAAACGCAGCUAACAGGCUUUCUGAAUAAACCAGCCCGCCCCCGGCGGUAUCAGGAGUUAGGUUCCGCAUAUGCUGUCGCCAGGCUGCAGCCGCCUGAGGGGACUCGCCCGGGGCCCCGCCCUCAGAGCUCACACCCGCCGUGCGCUCGCGCCCCAGGGGCCGCCCCCCGACACUCCAGUGCGACUCUGCGUGCACAGGCCAGAGGCUCAGAACCAGCGCCGGGCUGCCCUGCUCGGCCUCCUGGGCGCAGCGGCGUUUGCCCGUGCACGUGCCCUCGCAUCGCGCGCUCCGGGGCCGGGCUCCGGGCGGUUCUCGCCGCUGCAGUUCCACCGGGACUUCCGCGCUUCGGCGGCCUGUCUGACGAGCCGCCGCGCCCAGAGAGGUUCAGGUUGGAGCGACACUUGCCAGAGGGCAGCGGUCACGCCAGAUCUUCGGCUUCCAUUCCGUUUUCGCGCGCUUCUCCCUCUUUGCAAGCUCUGGAUUCUCUUUGUUCUUUCCCAGUAGAGGAAUCCCAAGGAGGACUGAUCCGUUUUGGCAGGUGCACAACCAUGGUCUUCCAGGUAUAGUGAGGCUGGUCUAUUUGAGACCCCCCUGGCUUUCUGUUGGCUCCCAUAGGCUUGGAUGCUGCUGCCCCAUCAUGACCGGUGAUGAUGCUUGUCCUGGGUUGUCUGAAGGUUCGCACUUAAGUAUCUCUGGUGAGAUGCCCCACGGACAGCUUUACGCAGCACACUAGGAGGUGGGCUUCUUGAAGAUCCAUUACCAUGGCUUACUCGCAGAGUCCUUUCAGACGAUUGGCCCUGAGCUAACAUCUGUUGCCAAUCUUCCUCUUUUUGCUUGAAGAAGAUUGUUGCUGAGCUAACAUCUGUGCCAAUCUUGCUCUGCUUUAGUGGGAAUGCUGCUGCAGUGUGGCCUGAUGAGAGCUGAUAGCUCCCACCUGAGAUCAGAACCUGCAAACCUUGGGUGACCGAAGCAGAGCACAUGAACUUAACCACUGUGCCACAGAGCUGGCCCCAACCAUCUCAGCUUUCAAUUGGAGUACUUCAUACAUUUCAAAUUUAAUUCAAUUAUUGAUAUUGUUAACUUUU
rnacentral:lncRNA from 1 species